rnacentral:rRNA from 1 species
UACAGAGGGGGCAAGCGUUGUUCGGAAUUACUGGGCGUAAAGGGCGCGUAGGCGGCCUGCUAAGUCGAACGUGAAAUCCCUGGGCUCAACCCAGGAACUGCGUCCGAUACUGGUUCGCUUGAAUCCGGGAGAGGGAUGUGGAAUUCCAGGUGUAGCGGUGAAAUGCGUAGAUAUCUGGAGGAACACCGGUGGCGAAGGCGACAUCCUGGACCGGUAUUGACGCUGAGGCGCGAAAGCCAGGGGAGCAAACGGG